rnacentral:rRNA from 1 species
GACGAACGCUGGCGGCGUGCUUAACACAUGCAAGUCGAACGGAAAGGCCCUGCUUUUGUGGGGUGCUCGAGUGGCGAACGGGUGAGUAACACGUGAGUAACCUGCCCUUGACUUUGGGAUAACUUCAGGAAACUGGGGCUAAUACCGGAUAGGAGCUCCUGCUGCAUGGUGGGGGUUGGAAAGUUUCGGCGGUUGGGGAUGGACUCGCGGCUUAUCAGCUUGUUGGUGGGGUAGUGGCUUACCAAGGCUUUGACGGGUAGCCGGCCUGAGAGGGUGACCGGCAAAAUGGGAGCUGGGAUACGGCCCAGACCCCUAGGGGGGGAAGGAGGGGGGAAUGUUGCACAAUGGGCGGGAGCCGGAUGAAGGAACGCCGCGGGGGGAGUGCCGGCCUUGGGGUGGAAAACCGCUUUGGCCUGUAACGAAGCGGGGGUGACGGUAAUGGGAAAAGAAGCACCGGCUAAUUACGG